rnacentral:lncRNA from 1 species
UAUAACUAUAAUUUCAUUGAGUAAUAUAUCCGGAACUUACUUCGCAAGCUCAUCUCUAACCCCCUCAAACUAUAUAAUCUGCUAUUUCCAUGAGAAACCCCUCGCUGGCAUUUCUUCAAACAACUCGCAAGCAAACCGAAAGAACUACCCGAAUUCCAAUCUCAAUACCUCCGAAACACCAAAAACCAGAGCCAAUCUCAGCGGACAACCCAAACUACGACCCGAACCGCGCUUACCCAAGCGAUUCAAGAGCCUACCAGUUCACCCAUCAACCAAUCGAAACACCCAAAAAUGCUAAACCAAG